rnacentral:rRNA from 1 species
CAGCAGCAGCCGCGGUAAUACGGAGGAUCCAAGCGUUAUCCGGAAUCAUUGGGUUUAAAGGGUCCGUAGGCGGUCUUGUAAGUCAGUGGUGAAAGCCCAUCGCUCAACGGUGGAACGGCCAUUGAUACUGCAGGACUUGAAUUAUUGGGAAGUAACUAGAAUAUGUAGUGUAGCGGUGAAAUGCUUAGAGAUUACAUGGAAUACCAAUUGCGAAGGCAGGUUACUACCAAUUGAUUGACGCUGAUGGACGAAAGCGUGGGUAGCGAACAGGAUUAGAUACCCCAGUAGUCCCUGUCUCUUAUAC